rnacentral:rRNA from 1 species
UACGUAGGGUCCGAGCGUUGUCCGGAAUUAUUGGGCGUAAAGGGCUCGUAGGCGGUUAGUCGCGUCGGGAGUGAAAACUCAGGGCUCAACCCUGAGCGUGCUUCCGAUACGGGCUGACUAGAGGUAUGCAGGGGAGAACGGAAUUCCUGGUGUAGCGGUGGAGUGCGCAGAUAUCAGGAGGAACACCGGUGGCGAAGGCGGUUCUCUGGGCAUUACCUGACGCUGAGGAGCGAAAGCAUGGGGAGCGAACAGG